rnacentral:rRNA from 1 species
AUGAUUACUGUGCUAUGCAACUUCCAUUCGCGAGGGGGGGGGGGCUGUGUUUACACAUCAUACCAUGGGUUUCAUGAAUCACCAUAUCCAGAGAUUCGUCGACACAGCCUGUUGCCAGAUAAUCUUGAGUGUGUGAAAGGCAUCAAGCUUCCAUGCGAUGGAUGGCUUUUGCAAACCCGACAUGCGGCGAUGUGCACGACCCUCUUUUGUUGGAUAUUAUGUACUGUUGUUAGUUUGAAGCAGUCCUCUGGUUUGAAGGAUAGAUACCUUCCUGGGAUCAAGUGCAUCCUAACUCACCUGCUACCAUAUAACUGGAGUUACCGAUGCAAGUCGAAGAAGGAUUGGCCGGUGCUGCCGGCUGGCGUCAAGUUCGAUCCCACGGAUCAGGAGCUGAUCGAGCACCUUGAGGCCAAAGUGAGUGCUGACAGCGCGAGAUUUCAGUCUCUCAUCGAUUUGUUCAUACCAACCAUCGACAGCGAGCACGGCAUAUGCUACACCCAACCUGAGAAACUUCCAGAUGUUAUGAAAAUGCCAACUAGGUACAGUAAAACCUGUAUUCCACAAUACUGCGGGUAUCACACUGAGUGGCCUAAGGAAGCAUUUCUUCCAGCGCAAUUCCAGGGCGUUCAAAAGGGGCACGUGGACGCGUCGCAAGAUACAGUCGGAGUGCGGCAUGCACGCGAUGUGGCACAAUACCGGCAAUACCUUGCCGGUGAUGGUCAACGGCUGGCAAGGGCAGCAAAAAAGGUUUUGGUGCUGCACACCAACAAGAACUUCGACCAGCAGAGGACCAACUGGGUGAUGCACCAGUACCACCUCGGGGACCUGGAGCAAGAGAAGGAGCGGGAGCUGGUCCUCUGCAAGAUUUUCUACCAGACGAACACUAGGGCCAGGAGUAAAAAGAUUAUAAGUUAG